rnacentral:rRNA from 1 species
CCUACGGGUGGCUGCAGUGAGGAAUAUUGCUCAAUGGGCUUACGCCUGAACCAGCCAAGCCGCGUGAGUGAAGACUGCCCUAUGGGUUGUAAACCUCUUUUGUCAGGGAGCAACGCCGGCUACGUGUAGCCGGACUGAGAGUACCUGAAGAAAAAGCAUCGGCUAACUCCGUGCCAGCAGGCGCGGUAAUUCGGAGGAUGCGAGCGUUAUCCGGAUUUAUUGGGUAUAAAGGGUGCGUAGGCGGAAUGCCAAGUCAGGGGUAAAAGAGCGGGGCACAACCUGGCUUGGCCGUUGAAACGGGCGUACUUGGUGGGGCGAGAAGUAGGAGGAAGGCGUGGUGUGGGGGUGAAAGGGAUAGAAAUCAGGGAGAACCCCGAGUGCGAAGGCAGCAUACGGGCGCCCAACUGACGCUGAAGGACGAAAGCGUGGGUAUCGAACAGGAGUAGAUACCCUUGUAGU